rnacentral:rRNA from 1 species
GAUGAACGCUGGCGGCGUGCCUAAUACAUGCAAGUCGAGCGAACAGACGAGGAGCUUGCUCCUCUGACGUUAGCGGCGGACGGGUGAGUAACACGUGGAUAACCUACCUAUAAGACUGGGAUAACUUCGGGAAACCGGAGCUAAUACCGGAUAAUAUAUUGAACCGCAUGGUUCAAUAGUGAAAGACGGUUUUGCUGUCACUUAUAGAUGGAUCCGCGCCGCAUUAGCUAGUUGGUAAGGUAACGGCUUACCAAGGCAACGAUGCGUAGCCGACCUGAGAGGGUGAUCGGCCACACUGGAACUGAGACACGGUCCAGACUCCUACGGGAGGCAGCAGUAGGGAAUCUUCCGCAAUGGGCGAAAGCCUGACGGAGCAACGCCGCGUGAGUGAUGAAGGUCUUCGGAUCGUAAAACUCUGUUAUGAGGGAAGAACAAAUGUGUAAGUAACUAUGCACGUCUUGACGGUACCUAAUCAGAAAGCCACGGCUAACUACGUG